UACGAAGGGUGCGAGCGUUGUCCGGAAUUAUUGGGCGUAAAGGGCUCGUAGGCGGUUUGUCGCGUCGGGAGUGAAAUCCACUGGCUUAACUGGUGGCUUGCUUUCGAUACGGGCAGACUGGAGGUAUGCAGGGGAGAACGGAAUUCCUGGUGUAGCGGUGAAAUGCGCAGAUAUCAGGAGGAACACCGGUGGCGAAGGCGGUUCUCUGGGCAUGUCCUGACGCUGAGGAGCGAAAGUGUGGGGAGCGAACAGG
rnacentral:rRNA from 1 species